rnacentral:tRNA from 1 species
ACCUGGUUAGCUCAGUUGGUUAGAGCGCGCGGCCUGCUGUCUUUACAGCGUCACACGUGCUGCGAGGUCGCAGGUUCAACUCCUGCCCCAGGUACCA